AACGCGAAGAACCUUACCUGGGCUUGAACUGCACCGGACAAAGGUAGAAAUACCUCUCCCGCAAGGGCUGGUGUAGAGGUGCUGCAUGGCUGUCGUCAGCUCGUGCCGUGAGGUGUUGGGUUAAGUCCCGCAACGAGCGCAACCCUUAUCCCUAGUUGCCAUCGGGUCAAGCCGGGCACUCUAGUGAAACUGCCUCGGAUAACGAGGAGGAAGGUGGGGAUGACGUCAAGUCCUCAUGGCCUUUAUGUCAAGGGCUACACACGUGCUACAAUGGUCGGUACAAACCGUCGCAAACCCGUGAGGGGGAGCUAAUCGGAAAAAGCCGGCCUCAGUUCGGAUUGGAGUCUGCAACUCGACUCCAUGAAGCUGGAAUCGCUAGUAAUCGCGGAUCAGAACGCCGCGGUGAAUACGUUCCCGGGCCUUGUACACACCGCACGA
rnacentral:rRNA from 1 species